CGCACCUUCACGGCUUCUCUUAGCUGUCCCCACCAGCUCGAGGCUCACUGACUGGCGCAUACCCCACAUUGAACACUGGCUUUGGGCUUCUAGCUUCUACCCCUCUCUGCUGCUGUUCGUGUCCCGCGGCCGCCCCUGGCAAAAGCGCUCCUCUCUGAAGGCAAUUGGGAAAUCUGAGGAAUUUAUUGAGCGCCGGCUCCGUACCUCUCACUACGUGUCUCUGGGUUGGGAGCCCUGGGAGACAGGACCGAAGGGAGGGCAGGAAAAGCUCCUCUUUGAUUGAUACUGCCGUGGGCUGGAUGUUGGUGCUUUUUGGACCAUAGAAAUCAGUGAAGGGGAGGAAUUGAAUGCCUAGGUGAGUACAUGGUGAAACAAAAGUGACACACGAUACAAUGGGGAAGGAAAUUAGAUGAGAAUAUUUUAAAUAUGAAGUGUCCAUGCCUCAUGAAGUGUGUUCUUCAAAGAUAGGGUUGCUGUGGACUGUUUCACCUUGGACUAAGUAAACAUAUGGAUAUAUAGAAAGUCAUGCUUUAAAAAGAGUUGCAAUGGGUUCUGGUAAUAAUUUAAUAACAUAUCUAUUUACUUGUGAUCCUAAAGCAUACUGCAUAUUUUGGACUUUUGUUUAACAAAUAAAGCAACUAUAAUUUCUGGAGCAGAAGCAGCCUUGGAUGCAAGAAGCCAUUCAUGUCUUGCUUACUGAGGAAUGUCCUUUUGUUUCUCAAGUUCAGAGCUGUUCUCUUCCCUGCUGUACCUCCACUCAGUUCAUUUGUGGAGUUGAAUAUAACCUCCGCUUAAUUUCUUUCACGGAACCACCCAUUCGUUCCAAGUCUGGUAGCCAGUGUCCACUUCAGGUUGUCAUUAGUGACCAUCAUCCUUUUCCCACACUCCUGACCCUCCUCACCCACCUGACAGGAAGUCAACAAGGGGCCAGAUGUAAUCAGCUCCCACAAGGGAGAAAUGAAGUCUUCUUCACCACUGUGUAAAUUUGCAAAAGGAUGUGCUUUUCUGACUUAAGUCAGAUACUGAGGAGAAAAUUAGCUGAGAUCUGUAGUUGGGGUGGGGGGGGGGGAAUACUAUAUCUCUUUACAAGUGUAUAUGCAAAAUAAAAGGUUUUAACUUUCAGAGUUUAAAACAUAGGGGCU